rnacentral:lncRNA from 1 species
AUGACUGAUCACUGAUAAUGUCUGUUUUCGCUAGAUUACGAGUGUGAUGACGAUGGAGAACGAAGCCACAAUGAGGAAAACAAAAUAUACAUAUACAGUACAUUAUCUGCAAGAAAUGCAAUGUGAAUUUUAAAGGUCGUUACCGAAGAAGCUUCCAAAACAGAAAUAAAGGUAUUAGCUCACUUUUUAUUAAAAUGGGCAAUACAUGCUGUCUUUAUAGGUUUAGUCUGGAUGAAUAAACAUGGAAUCAACGCGGAAAUCGUUUACAAUGAUAAGCUGAAUAUAGUACGGUUUGUAAAUAUUAGACUUAGGCUAUUAAACCAAGUGACGGUCGACAGAACAGUAGAUAACACACCUUGUCUGCAUUUUCGGUCAAAGUUUGACAGAUUUCAUUAUACAUCGUACAUCCUACAGAUCGACAAUUAGUUGCUUGUUACAUCGGCUUUCCUACUACUUCGUUUUUACAGGAGUAUUUUAUUCUGACUUCUAACAGGCGUAACACCUGGGCGUUGAACCUGGUCUCAGCUGAUCCGCUUGUAUACUCCGGUGUUUUACAUGUUCUGUUGGUACGGUUCAGCAACCUCCAAGCUUGUCAUUUAUGAGGCACUAGUGUCAAGUUGUCAACCUUGUUUUCGUAUUACCAGAUUCAUUAGACCCAUGGUUCCUCCACUAUGGCUAUUUUCCCUCUCAGAAAAGGGGUACCCUCUUGCGGGGAAUGCUUUACAAAAAAACGAGGGUUUUAGGUUGGGGUGGUCGCCGUAAGAGUAAUUUUCCGCCUGAUGGCAGCGCCUCUUGCGGGUGUGUUAUUUCACUCGACGCAGAGACUCAUUUGUAGCCAGAUGGCACUUCACUCUUCUCUACCGAAAUCAUUUGACGGGAGUGGGACUGGGACUAACUCCUAAAUAUUUCGUGCGCAUUUUCCGCCAUUUCUUCUAUAGACAUGUGGUCACCAUCAUGCUGUGAUAGGACUUAAUUUUGAAUACGACUUUUUCUACUGGAUAGUUUAGUUUAUCUACGCAUUUUCACUUUGUUAAUGUCAUUUAAUGUUUUCCGACCAAAACUUGUCUUCCAGAUAAGCUGAGGAAAAUCCGAUGCAACUUCGCUCGUAUCACGUGGAGCCAGAUGAAGUUUGGAAACUGGUGUGUAAAUCAGUGGAAACCACAAUGUUAGUAUUGCUGAGGCUGUCAUCUUUUGUUCGUAUACAUAUUAUUGAUUGAUGGGAUUCACAAGAGCAAUUUCUUGCCUGAACAAAAAGUAUUUUCAAUAACUUUUCGUAUAGUUUUAUAAUCCUUCCAUUUUUAGUUGUUUUCCUGAUCACCAAGCAGAACAUGUUUGUACAGCAAAUUCUAUAUUUGUGUUACUUCUAAUGCAGUUCAUGGUUAAAAGGAAGUAUAUUUCUUUUGUUUUCCUAGAUGAAAGUGGCUACUGAUCUGAAAGCCAUGAAAUUAUUGAAGUGUAAAGAUCUUGGUAUACAAUGGCUGAAAUUCCUGUUAAUACUCGUGGAUAUUCUCACACUUUUUGCUUCAUGAGACAUAGACUACAUUUUUUUUCCAACAAUCAAGAAGUGAUGUUUCAUCGUGAACAGUUUUCUCUAAGCGUGAUUUUACUGGUAAAUGGCAACAGACCAGAAUAGUAGGUCCAUUCUUAAAAACAAAGAAUCACCAGUGUCUGAAUUACAUGUUUUGGAACUUUGGAGUUAAUGUUAAGUGAUCUGCUGGAUGGAAGUAUGUUGCAGAUGGAAAAGGAUUCUUGUUUCAAUUGGAUUAUGUCGCUUCGUCAUCAUAAACCCCAAGAAGCCAUAACAUCCAAGAAGCCAUAAGGAUCGCAAUGCAGUCUUCAGCAAAUCUGCGUGGUAUUUUGGCCAAUAUGCUUAUUACAAGCAGAAUAUUUGGCACAAUCAAGGAAGGAUGAGACAUGAAAAAAGGACAAUCAGAUUACAGAAUGUACUUGCAUAACAUGCAACCUAAUGGAGUCCUGUUAUAUUAACUGCAUAUUCACACAGAAGCUUCUAGCUGAGAAGAAGAGUGUUGGAUUUUAAGAAACAUUCAACAUGCAGACUAAAUCCCAUAUUAUCCAAUGCAUUUCAUCCUCCUUAGAUAACUUUCUCUUCUCUGGUUUGAUCAAAAUCUUUUUCCUAUGUGAUGCAAAUAUGAAACAGUGGAAAUGCCGAAAAUAGGGUAAAAUAAACUAGCUCCAGUUUAUGUGUGGGAUACAAGAAAUGUGAAUCAUAUCUUAAAGUUGAAUUAGGUACUUGCAGAUUGAGCAAAUAUCCUUCAGUGUUUCCUAGUAUGAGUUUGUAGCAGGAGAUAUUGCACCAUAGAAGACCAACAAUGUAAACUAGUGCACAGAAGAUGUUCAGUAAUGAAUAGCAAACGAGUGACACUACCGUUAUGACAGAGCAACACAAUUGACAACAGCCACAAGUUAACUAUCAGCUAGAAAUUUGAAGCGACUUAACUAUUAGGCCAAAAUGGCGCAGCCCAACAAUGCUCCACCAGAUGCUAAUGGAACCUAUUCUUUAGAAAAAUCCCGUCACAUUUU